GUCAGUCGAUCAGCAGGGCUCUAAAUUUGACUUUCCCACAGUGAGACAACAGACUGAGCCGCACAUCAUUUUAACCCCUUCAGAGCCGCUGAGCACGCAAGUCUUCAUUCAUGGACUGAGAGUGUUUGAAGAUUCAUCCACUAAACAUCAUCAGAAAUGAAGGAAACUUUACAUGACACUAGAUAUGGAUGUCUAAGAGUGGGAUAUGUGUGGAAGGAGAAGUCUGUGUGCUCCUGCGUGUGUGCACGGGUGAGAAUCUGCGUCCAUG